rnacentral:rRNA from 1 species
UACGAAGGGGGCUAGCGUUGUUCGGAGUUACUGGGCGUAAAGGGCUCGUAGGUGGCCAACUAAGUCAGACGUGAAAUCCCUCGGCUUAACCGGGGAACUGCGUCUGAUACUGGAUGGCUUGAGUUUGGGAGAGGGAUGCGGAAUUCCAGGUGUAGCGGUGAAAUGCGUAGAUAUCUGGAGGAACACCGAUGGCGAAGGCGGCAUCCUGGACCAACACUGACACUGAGGAGCGAAAGCCAGGGGAGCAAACGGG